rnacentral:rRNA from 2 species
CGGUGGUUAUAGCAUCGGGGUCACGCCCGGACCCAUUCCGAACCCGGAAGCUAAGCCCGAUAGCGCUGAUGGUACUGCACCCGGGAGGGUGUGGGAGAGUAAGACACCGCCGACCA